GGGGGGCGGGGCGGUAAGGCUCAGGCAUGGCGGGCUGCAGGUCCCGAGCCCUGUCCCGCGGGGAGGCAGCUAAGGCCUGGCGAGAAAUCGAGCACAGCAGCUGCUGGCCCAGGUGCUAAGCCCCUCACUGCCCGGGGUCGGCGGGGCUGGCCGGCAGCUCCCAGUGCGGGGCCCUCCGAGCCCACGCCCCACCGGGAACUCCCGCUGGCUCGCAAGCGCCGGACGCAGCCCCGGUUCCCGCCCGCGCUUCUCCCUCCUCACCUCCCAGCAAGCUGAGGGAGCCGGCUCCGGCCUCGGCCAGCCCAGAAAGGGACUCCCACAGUGCAGCGGCGGGCUGAAGGGCUCCUCAAGUGCCGCCAGAGUGGGCGUCCAGGCAGAGGAGGUGCCCAGAGCGAGCGAGGACUGCAAGGGCUUGCCAGCACGCUGUCACCUCUGACUUCCAGCCCCUGGCAACCACUUUUCUACUCUCUGUCUCCAGACGUUGGACUUUCAGAUCCCACAUACAAAGUCACAAAACCCAAACCGACACCCAGAACUAGCCACAUCUCUAAGGAGCUCUCAUUCCUGUUAAUGAAGAAUGAUAUUUACAAACCAAAAUCCAGGAACUAGGAUUUCAAAGAGAGGCUGUUUGCUUGACUGAAGGAAGCGCCUUUUGACAGAAGAUGCAAUUUAUGUUAUAUGAAUGAUAUUUUUGAUGGCCAAAAGGACCUGUGAUAGCCUGAGAGUCAAAGACAAGCAGGAACACAUCUGUAGUCAAACAAGGUCAGGUUUAUUUAGUGGACUGCAUCAAAUAAGAACACCCCCAAAUAGGAACUUGGGGCAUCUCAGUAAUGGAGAUUUCACAGGAGUUGUUUAUGUGUUUGUGCUUGUGCUUGAUAUUCCCAAGGCAGAUAUGGAAUGAAUCCUGGCUUGGACUGGUUCUUGUCAACAAGGAGGAGCAGGUUAGCAAUCAGAUUCUCGGUAUUCGUUGUUCAGGUGGUGCUAUAGUCUGUAUGUCCCCUCCAAAAGCAUGUUGAAAUUUAAUUGCCAAUAUAAUCGUAUUGUGAGGUAGGACCUUUAAGAGGGGUUUGGCUCAUUGAAGCUCCACCCUCAUGAAUAGAUUAAUGUCAUUAUCGUGGGAGUAGGAUAGUUAUCAUGGGAAUGGGCUCCUGAUAAAAGAGUGGUUUCUGCCUGAUCUCCUCUUUCUCUCUCUCGCAUGCUCACUUGCCCUUCCACCAUAUUAUGAUGCAGCAGGAGGGCCCUCACCAGAUGCUGAUAACAUUUUUUUAACUUCUCAGCCCUCAAAACUGUGAAGAAUAAUUUCUUUCUUUUAUACGUCACCUAGUCUGUGCUAUUCUGUUAUAGCAGAAGACAAUAAACUAAGACAGACAUCGGGAAAACAACACGGGCUUGGGGACAUCAUUUAUAAGAAAGUGAUAAUCACUCAGAGAAAAAAAUGAUUAGUCAUAUUUUCAGCUAUAGUGUGGCCUUUUGUAUAAGCACUGUAUACAAAAAUGCUAUAUCCCAUUGGAAACAUUUUUUUUUUUUUUUGAGAAGGAGUCUCACUCUGUAACUCAGGCUAGAGUGCAGUGGCACGAUCUUGGUUCACUACAACCUCCUCCUCCUGGGGUCAAGCGAUUCUCCUGCCUCAGCCUCCUGAGUAGCUGGGACUACAGAUGUGCACCACCGGGCCCAGGUAAUUUUUUUGUAUUUUUGGUAGAGACAGGAUUUUACCAUGUUGACCAGGCUGGUCUCGAACUCCUGACCUUUUCACUUUCUCAAAAAGAAUAUUGUGACACAACCAUGAAGUGAAGAGUUCUAAGAUCCAACAUAGCCUCACUGAGUUGAUGCAUGUUUUUACCUGACUUCUGAUCAUUUUAUAAACAAUUAAAAUAGUAAAGCGGGACAGGACCUUAGAAAUUGUCAUUAUACGUAUGGAGAGCCUGGAGCACAUUCCCAGGGUCUGCCAAGCAGUUUGUGCCAAAAGAAGGAUUAGAACCCAGAUCUCUGACAAUUAGACAAGGAUCCUUCACAGGACAUCUAUUUUCAUCCUGGUACACACACACACACCUGUACCAAUUUCAGGGGUAAAGUAUUUUGCAAGUGAUUUACUACUAAUAAGAGUGAAAAUACUGGAGUGAUUCUCUAUUACUGUUUUCUCACUGUAAAAAUUUCAAGCAUACAAUCAUAAUAAAGUUAUCUCUUUACUUCAAUCUCCUUUCUCAUCUCCAUAUGGAUAAAUAUGUGUAUCUGACUAUUAUAUAAAAGUAAUGAUAUAGUAGUACAUAUUGUUUUGCAGUUGGCUUUUCCCAAUUAAUAACACACUUUGGAUAUUGUUCUGUGUCAGUGUCAAUAAAAUCUGUAAACAUAGAUAACAUCAUUUUAUUAUUUUACAAGGUGAAGAUGUCCUUAAUGAUAUUCAAUAUACUUUUCUACAUUUACAGACUAUGUACAUUUUGUAGAUAGAACUUUUUUAUUAAAAAUAACGUUAUUAACCAUUU